GAUUAAGCCAUGCAUGUGUAAGUAUAAAUAAUUCUACUUUGAAACUGCGAAUGGCUCAUUAUAUCAGUUAUAGUUUAUUAGAAAAAAUGUACUACUUGGAUAACCGUAGUAAUUCUAGGGCUAAUACAUGAGUAAAUCCUCGACUUUGAAGAGGUGUGUUUAUUAGUAUGAAAACCAUAUGCUUGGGCAUAAUAGUGAGUAAUAAUAACCUUUCAUAUCGUAUGUUGAAAUAACGAUAGUUCUUUCAAGUUUCUGCCCUAUCAGCUUUCGAUGGUAGUGCAUUGGACUACCAUG
rnacentral:rRNA from 1 species